CCGGGUCCUGCGUCACUGCGUAAACCCGCGAGUUCCGGAAGCCCGGGGAGCCCAGGUUCUGCUAGGAAAAGCCACGCUUCCCAGAGAAUGUUUGAGAAACAGUUACGCGGAGCCGGGCGUUUCGCAGACGCCUAAGGUCCCAUUUUCCAGAAGUACUACAUUUAGUGAAAAAGCUGGUCACAGAAUGAGACCGCGUUGUUGAAUGUUCACGUCUAACAUGCCUGGUAUUCUGUGUUACCCCCGGAACACUUUAUACCUGGACAGUUUCAAGCAAUUACAGGGAGGCUGAGACUCCAUCCACACCAGUUUGUCGUCUGCACACCUUCCCCUAUGAGUCACCUUUACUUAAGCCUGAACAGAAUAAACUAGGGGCAGACUUGCUCUCUUUUUUUUUUCGCUUUAUCUACUUCCUUAUCUUGCCCAUAUUAUCCAUUACUUGUAUCCAGAGAAAUCAAGAGUUGGAUUAUCCUGAGCCAGAAGGAGAUUUGGAAAAAGAAGGGAGAGUGGAAUUAUUUAAAAGCCAAAAAGAGAAAUCUGCUCCCCCCCCUUUUUUUCUUUAAAAAAAAAAAAAAAAGGAAAGGAAAGAAAAUAGAAAGGACAUAGAAUGCUGGAGUAAGUCCAGAGAAUUGAGUUGUACUCUUAACUGUGGUUUUCAUUUGACCAGCUCUACCUCUUGGCUUUAUUCUCCUCAUUUUUAAAACUUAGGAGUAGCAGUCAAAUCUGUGGCUUUAAAACUGUUCCAUAGAAGAGCUGCUGUAGAAAUCGCCUGGAGCCAUGCAGAGGAGAGACAAAGCGAGCCGACCCUCAGCAGUAUUUUACAAGAACAGCUUGUGUUCUGCUUGAAAAACAGGGGUCCUGUUAGGGAAAUUAAAUUCAUAUCUUAGACUAGAUGAUCUGUUUCCUUCUAGCAUUAAAAUUUCAUUUCUUAGGAUAAUUAUUCAUUUGUAGUCAGCAUGCAUUCAUUUGAUUAUUAGUUUUUUUAAAUAAUAAAAUAUAUCUGUUCACAGUUAAUUCAUUACCAAAAGCCACAAACUUCUCUAUAUUCCACCUUAUUUAAUAGCUACAAAUUUUAAAUUUAAUUCUUUCUUUAUGAUCAGAAUCAUAAUUCUUUCCUUUUCUCCUUUCCCCCUAUUUUAUAUUAGCCAUAAAAUUUUUGCUUAUAUUUGAAGCUUGUAAUAUAGUCUUUGCAAUAGGAAGGGCAGAUAUUUUCCAUUUUACACAUUUGGUAGCUGAACCUUAAAGAUGUUAGCAGCCUUGCCCAACAUCACGUUGCUAGUAAAAUUCUGAGUCCUGGCCCCACAUUUUCCUCACAGCAUCAAAUUUUAAGUUUCUUUCCCUCUCAUGUUCUACCAGUUCUUAUAGCACAGGGAAAAGGGAUGCAAGUUGCAGUUUCUUUCUUUCUGGACCAAAGUUCUGCUCUGAAUCCCUGGCUUCUUUUUUUCCUCCCUUGAUUAUCUGGGUUGGACAAUCUAGAAGCAAAUUGGAUGCUCCCUUUUUCUCUUCACUGUGAAAUGACGGCAGUUUCUAAACCUCCCGUGUUCCCCUUCAGUUCCUUUGGAAUGUGGAAGAAACCUCAGGAGAAAAGCCCUGAACUGCUCCGUCUGCCCCGCAUCUGUAAUCCCAGCCCUGCAAAUGCCCGCAUUGUGAUUUCUAGACAUGGACAUGGAGGCUGGCAAGAGGACGUCUAGCAGCCUCUGCCCUUCCCUCUGUGGUCUAGCUCUUCCUUCUUACCUCCCUAUCAAUAAGCGUUCACCAGAAAUUUACUAAUUGCCAGCUUGACCUUGACACGUUGAUCGCCAUGUCACCCGAAUCUGGGUGACAGUUGUGUUUCCUCAGGGGCACCCGAUCCACAGUGGGUGAUCAGCAUGCUAAACAGGUUGUCAAUCUCUUAAUUUUUGACUUCUUAAAAUGGGUGUGAUACUGACUGUGUUAUGAGGAUUAAAUGAGAGAAAGAACCAUAGGGAAGCCAGUGCCUCAUAUACAGGAGGUAUCACAUGCUACUUCCUGCUUGUCCCUCGCUAAUACCUCUGUUCCUUUAGGGCUAUUUUCACAUUCUCUCGAGUGCCAUAAAGUGUGCAGUUAAGCGUGUGUUCCAGUCAUCUUCAAGUCAUUUAGAAUUCUCUUCGUAGGACUCAGAUCCUAAAGUCCUUUUCCAGAUUUAUAGAGGACUUAAAGACUUAGUUGUUCCGUUAAGUUUCAUGUGGCUCUUGUUUGCUCAUCCUCGGAUCACAGUUUUUGCUGUAGUUCAUGCCUGUGCUCUCAGUCUCUUAGGACUUAGCCUCUGAAAAUAGCCCCAUCUGCAUGUCCUGCAGUGCUGUCCUAAAGUGUUUAUUAUGUUCAGCUUGUAGGCCCAUCGUCAUUGUGUCAGCAGAGGAUGCUGGUACAGAGCAUGGCCCCACUACUUCCAGCUGUGUGGUUUCCCACAACUCAGCUCAUCGCUUUGUGCUUCAGUUUCCUUGUUUUAAAACGAAAAUAAUACAAGAAUCUCUUUCAUAAUAUUGCGAGGAUUAAAUGAUUUACUAUUUCAUUUUGCAAAGGGCACUUAGCUGGGGUAGUCCCUUGUUAGCGCUCCAUAACCAGGAAGUAAGUGGUAGAGGUUCACUGCGGUUGUAAAGUCACAGAUUGGUUGGGAUUGUCUCCCAUCAGGCUUUGCUGUUUAUUCCAUGAGGACUGAGCCUGUGUCUGAUGGGUACCAUUCUGAUUUCUCCACUUUCUCUAGCCUUUUCCAGACUCAUGUUUGACGUUACCAUUUCUGCAGUUGGGAAUGGCUGUUCCUUUAUUUAUUUAUGUAUUUUCUUCCUCUUCCAAGGUUUCCUAAAACAAUUCCUAUAAGGAUUCUAAAGAGGUAGACUUUUUGCAGUGCUCGUUAAAAGCAUUUUUUUAACUGCUGCAGAUUAUAGUGGGGCGAAAAAAUGACUGGUCCAGAGUCACACAGCUUGGUGGUAAAGUGGGGCCAGGAUACAGAAGUAAGCAGAACCAGCUUACCGCUGCUUCCCAUAUCCACGCAAACAUCUGCUCUUUC